GUGGCUCAGGUCACGGUGUGUAGAACAGCUGCGAGGGAAUCUACACAUCCAGGUGAAGACAAAAGCAGGUUCCACCUUUCCCAACAGCCCAUGCCCGUGAGACAGGAACUAGAGUGAAGUCCAGAAAACCCUCAUGGAAUUAGUGUACACGCAGGGACAUUUAACAGCAUUCCAAGAUGAUGUCACCGGGGAGAGCUCGGUCAAGUUACCAUUGAAGAAGUACUCUCAUCCAUUUCCCAAAACUCAGAGUUGAAAGGGGGCAGAAUAGAGCUAGGUAGAGAAAACUAAACUGAAUGCUGGAAGAAAGAAGGCAGAGUCGAGGAGAAGCCAUAUAGCCCCAUCAGAGACAGACGCUGGAACUUUAUCAGAUUUCCAACUGCAGUGCCCUGGAAGGAUGUCUAGGCUCUGGGUCUCCUGGACUUCAGGGUCGUCUCCUUUUGGAAUGCUUUCAUCCGUCAUUCAGUGGGGGCCUCGGCAUGGGUGCCCACCCUCUGAACACCCUGCUCCACCUUCACCCAGUUUAUCUUCAGAGGGAAGAGUUCUCCAAGUCUCCUCAGACUCUGAAAAUCAGCUUUCACCUGGGCCAUCUACAGGAAGAUGGUACAGAGAAGAGCUAGGGGGAAUAUUAGUAUUUUUUUUUUUACCCUUUGUUCUACAUCUGAUUUUCCCUCUUAUUUUGUUUUAGGCCAAUCUCGAUGCUUUUUUAAAAAAAUAUUUUUCUUUCAAGUUGAUCCUACCAUAUUGUUACUAUGACAUUUUUUUAGGAUGAGAAUUCUCUCAAAAUCCUCUCGAACAUAAAAACUUUUCUCCAUUAAGGGAUCUGUUGUUUGGUCUUGGACAAUUUAAGGUCUCUAAAGGGACAUCAGUCCUAAAAUGUGACUGAAAAGCAACUAGCUUUUAUGCCUUCAUCAUGGCCGCCAGAGGCAUCCCCGAAAAGAGGCAGAAGAUUCAACCCUCACAGCCUAAGGUUACUUCUACAGAGAGCAAAGAGCAGUGUCUGGCUGGUUUUCUGUCCACUUGACACUAGCUAGAGUUAUCUUACAAGAGGGAACCACAAUUGAGACAAUGAAUAAAUAAGAUUGGGUUAUAGGCACGAUCAUGAGACAUUUUCUUAAUCAGUGACAGACUGAUGUGGGAGAGCCCACCUCAUUAUGAAUGGUGACAUCCUUGGCACCAGAACAAAAUGGGCUGAGCAAGCUAUGAGGAGCAAACCAGUAAGGAGCACUCCUCCAUGGCCUCUGCUUCAGUUCCUGCCUCCACCUUCCUGCUUUGAGUUCCUGUCCUGUGUCCCUUUGAUGAUGGACUGUGAUGUGGAAGUGUAAGUUGAAAUAAACCCUUUCC